UGGCUGUAUCACUCAGAAUUGUAGCUGC
rnacentral:piRNA from 1 species